GCAUCCACUGUAGAAGCUCAAAAGAUCCAAGAUAUCCUUCAUAUGUACUCUACGGUCCAUAAUAUGGAGGGGCAAGACAUGUUCUUAGGCUUGCCAGCCAUUAUCUUUAAGUCUAAAUCUUAGACUCUUCAAUCACUCAAAGCAAAAAUUAGAUGCAACAUUGCAGGAUGGAAUCUCAUGGUGGUAAAAAGGUGUUGAUAAAAGCCAUUGCAUCAACUAUUCUAGUGUAUGUAAUGACAUGUUUUUUAUUACCUUAUAACCUUUGUCAAUCUUUUAAUAGUAUGAUACCCAAUUUUUUAUGGGGGCAAAAAGAUCAAGAACAAAUAAUUCACUGGAUAGCUUGGGAUACGAUGUGUUUGCCUAAACUUCAAGGGGAGCUUAGUUUUCGUGAUUUGGAGUUGUUCAAUAGGUCUCUUUUAGCUAAACAAGGCUGGAGAAUUCUUACUGAACCUUCUUUAUUGGUGGUAAGGGUAUUAAAAGGGAAAUAUUUUCCCUAUACUUCCUUCAUGCAGGCAAAGCAGGGUUCUCGCCCCUCUUGGGCUUGACAGAGUAUUAUUUGGGGCAGACAAUUGUUAGAGCAAGGGGUGAGAUGGCUGGGUAACAAUAAAGCCUCAAUACUUUGUAAAUAAGAUAAAUGGAUCCCAAGAUCAUUUCCACAUCCUCCUCAGAUUAAGCAAUAUGUUGAUCCUUCAAUUAUUUGCAUCCCCCCCCCCCCCCAACUUAUCAACUCAGAUUCUUAAUCUUGGAAUAUGUUAAAGCUCAAAGAUGUCUUUCUAGAAAGAGAAAUCCAAAAUAUCAUUUCUAUCCCUCUUAGCUUAUUCUGAUGUGAGGAUGUGUUAAUAUGGCAGUAUGCAUCUUCAGGUUCAUAUUCGGUUAAAUCAGGUUAUUGGUUGGCUUCUCAUAUGAGAAACAGUAUGCGUUCAUAGUUGUAGCUUGGUCCAGGGCCUAAUUCUACUCAUUUCUUUUCAGAUAUAUGGAGGCACCUAUGGAAACUUCAUCUACCACCUAAACUAUCUGUUUUUCUAUGGAAGUUCCUUAAAGAAAAGCUACCAAUAAAUUACCAAAUUCAUAGAAGAUUGCCUGCUCUUCCAUCUGAGUGCCCAUUCUGCAGUUGCUUAGAAAUAGCCUCUCACCUCUUUUUCAAAUGGUCUAGGUUAGUUCCUUAAAGAGAUGCUUUGUUUUGCUUCCCUUCAUGGAGAUACAAUAGUAGAUAUUUGGUUGGAGAUUGUUUCUUCCUUUCAGGCGUUAACUAAUGAGAAUAAUCUUAUUGAA